UCGGCUUCUUUGAAGUCGGUGCGUAAUCAAAAAAAAAUCAAUACGAUAUAAAUGAAGGUACAGAGAAAAGGAUGGCUUCAGGACCCAACCCGCUGAAGUUUUAUGUGGCACGAGUCGGUAGCUAAUAAUCGCGUAGAUGUAGUGGAAUCCGAGAAGUACGACGAAAGUAGAGAAUAUCCAUUAACAUGAGAAGUUUUCUUGUAGUGGUUGCUGACGUUAAAUGAGCUUCGGAGACAGGUGACCCAGGACGAUAUAAAGCUGAUCCUGCGCCGCACCUGUCACACAGUCAAAAGGCGCAGAUGUGUAAAAAAUUUGCCCUGAAGCAGGUUUGCCGAUGUGCAACCGAA